AUAGAUAACAUCUGCACAUUAGUCUAAACUUGUCAGUGGGCUUGUGAAAUUAAUUUCUUUCAUGACAAGCAUGCCUGAUUCACAUACAUCUGUAAAGAUUUCUCUCUUUUCCCUAAUCCACCACCAAAGCUACAAUGUCAACUCUGAAGAAUAAGAAAACCAGAGCCUGUUUCGAAGCUGGAGCUAAAUACAAGUUUAUAUGACCCAAAUAAUUAAGACACCGGGCAGUAUCACACUGAAAUAAAGGAUGAAGAAAUAACUUGGAGGAAGAAUGAACAAAAUAAACCUCCAGCAGAUCUCGGCCUCUUCUGCAGAUCAAGCCCUCGUUCCUGAGCCAGCAUCCCACUAAGUGACAACAACUUUGCACAUUAAAUGUGUGAUCUCC